GUCCGGACCGGGCUGCCUGCGUCCGCUCCACUCGGCGCCGCGCCCCGCGCCCCGCGCCCGACCGUCGCUUCCCGCCUCCCCGCAGCUCCCUCCCCGCAACCCGCGGCGCGUGCGCACGAGAGUUACGCGGGGCAUCCUCGGGCGCCCAGACCCGGAGUUUGUUCGGCCUACCCGACCGGCGCUCUUGCGUCCGACAGACCCAGAAUACCGGGAGCACAGGGCGCCCUCCCCGCGCUUCCAUCCAGCGGGGCACCGGGCGCGUCCACUCUGAAUUCCCGUACUAGGGCGUCGCGGGAGACCACUGCGGCAGUGACGUCAGCUGAUCUCGGGGGCUCGAUCCUCCCGCUACCUCACAGUUUAUGCCCUACCAAGGCAAGGCUCCAGUGGCUUCCCUUGGCAGGUGAGGCCCCAGGCCUUCCAGGCCUGCAGGGCAGAAAAAGGGACCAAAGACUUCUGUGUGAAGUGAAAUUCUCCUACCAAGAAAAUGAGAAAUGAUGAUAUUGAGAAGACAAAGGUGGCAAAGAGACCAAAAGUUCCCCUGGCCAACCAUCGCCCUUCUUUGUUAGUGUUUGCUGGUUAAUAUGUAGGAAAAGCUUUCAACCUGUUUUGGACCCGCAUGGUGGAAGAGACAACAACCUACUCCCACAAUUGUCCUCUGACCUCUACAUGUGUAAAGUGACAUUUGCUCUCAAGCAGAAUGAUCUCUAGGAUCUCACUGCUGUGCUCUGGAGAUGGGGCUUUAUUAGCCUCUGUGCUGAUAUUCAUGCACAAGAGGACUUGGAGCUGUGAGUGGCCCUGACCUAAGUGAUUGCUGAAUUCCCAGCAUUUGGAGUUCAACUUGGCUCACACAUGCCUGCUUGUCAGCAAUGGCUUUUGGAUUGUGCCUGCAAGGACUUCCUGGACCCCCAUCAGUGCCAUCCUGCCCACCAGCCACAGUUGAAGGACUUUCCAGUGGACAUGGGCCAAGCCUGCAAACUUCCAAAGCAUCUUCACCAGGGAAGACUCUCCCGUGCAACCUUGUAGCGGCAUUUUUGCCCAAACAGCUGUUCCCUGCUUGUAAGAAGAUCCUCCUACAGUGGGUGGCACCAUUUUCCUGGCUGCAAUCUUGGACUGUAUAAAAUGGAGAAGGUGAGCCAACAUACGAGCUCCAUCCUUUGCUUACUGACUGCAGUUGCAAUGUGACCCGCAGCUUCCAGCUUCUUCUGUCUUGACUUCCUUCCCAUGACGAACUGUACCUGGAAAUGAGCCAUAAAAAUACCCAACCUCUCUCCCUUAAGCUACUUUCAUUGUGGCAUUUUGUCACAGCAUCUGGAAAACAAACUAAUGGUCUUGAUAAUGUAACAGCUGACACUGUCUGGGCAGGAGGAGAUAAGGAAACCAGAGCCCAGAAGAGGAAAUUUACCAGAAUCUUAACAUUUAUCGGGAAGAAAGCAGAAAAUAAGCUCUGUCAAAAUACACAACAACCGAUGAAUAGAUAAGUAAAUUGUAGAACAUAAAGAUUAUGGAAUAUUACUUACCCUAUGGAAGAAUGGAAUGCUGAUAUUUGUAAUAAUUCAUGUGAACCUUGAAAGCACCGUACUAUAUGAAAUAAACAGAAAGGGACACAGUGUU
ensembl:lncRNA